AAUGGGGUGUUAAUAUUUCAGAGUAAAGUUAUUUUAACCCAGAUAGAGUAUUUUCAACAUUUUUGAGAGUAAAGUUGCUCUAUCAGUGGAGUUAAAAGUGAGUGUAAAAAUCUGCAGAUACGCAGUGACAAUUUCAACUCUACAGCAGUGAUGAAUACCCGCCACUCUGCUUUGCUGAAGUUUGGCACGUACGUUGGUGGAGGAAGAUUGCGAAGGAGUAGCUAGGCCACAGAUAUUGCUAGAGGCAAAAUGCUGUUGCGUGUUCAGCUCGGGGAAGAGCAGAAAUACGUCAAGCUGUCUGAGCUGACAUUCAAUGCUUUCUUGAAAGAAGUGUGUCUAAAAUUCAACAUACCAGAAAGCAGAAAGCCAGACAUUAAGGUGUAUGACCAGUCUGACACAGAAGUUGACUCAGAUGUUUUUGAAGAAUUAGUAAAGGAGUCACCUGGAACUUUCAGAAUCAUGCUGGGCAAUGGACUUGAUACCUCUCAUUCAUCAUCAUGCUCGGGUACAUCUGAUGACACCAUCAUUCUGAAUUUCACUGUGUGUGACGAUGUUGAAGAAGUAGCGGCUGGCGAAGGAAGCCAGCCUAAAAGGCCAUGCCACAUAAACUAUGAGGCAAAAGCAGUAAGUGGUGAACAUUGCUGUUAAGUCCAAUCUGAAUGUUGUUUCAUCAUGUGACAGCAUUACAUAUUGUUUUACAAUUACGGAAAGCACAUUUCUUUCCACCUAUAGCUGAU